rnacentral:rRNA from 2 species
GAAUUGACGGGGGCCCGCACAAGCGGUGGAGCAUGUGGUUUAAUUCGAUGCAACGCGAAGAACCUUACCUGGUCUUGACAUCCACGGAAGUUUUCAGAGAUGAGAAUGUGCCUUCGGGAACCGUGAGACAGGUGCUGCAUGGCUGUCGUCAGCUCGUGUUGUGAAAUGUUGGGUUAAGUCCCGCAACGAGCGCAACCCUUAUCCUUUGUUGCCAGCGGUCCGGCCGGGAACUCAAAGGAGACUGCCAGUGAUAAACUGGAGGAAGGUGGGGAUGACGUCAAGUCAUCAUGGCCCUUACGACCAGGGCUACACACGUGCUACAAUGGCGCAUACAAAGAGAAGCGACCUCGCGAGAGCAAGCGGACCUCAUAAAGUGCGUCGUAGUCCGGAUUGGAGUCUGCAACUCGACUCCAUGAAGUCGGAAUCGCUAGUAAUCGUGGAUCAGAAUGCCACGGUGAAUACGUUCCCGGGCCUUGUACACACCGCCCGUCACACCAUGGGAGUGGGUUGCAAAAGAAGUAGGUAGCUU